UACGUAGGUGGCAAGCGUUGUCCGGAUUUACUGGGUGUAAAGGGCGUGCAGCCGGGAAGACAAGUCAGAUGUGAAAUCCCGCGGCUCAACCGCGGAACUGCAUUUGAAACUGUUUUUCUUGAGUACCGGAGAGGUCAUCGGAAUUCCUUGUGUAGCGGUGAAAUGCGUAGAUAUAAGGAAGAACACCAGUGGCGAAGGCGGAUGACUGGACGGCGACUGACGGUGAGGCGCGAAAGCGUGGGGAGCAAACAGG
rnacentral:rRNA from 1 species